rnacentral:rRNA from 1 species
GACGAACGCUGGCGGCGUGCUUAACACAUGCAAGUCGAACGGUGAAGCGCCUUCCUUUUUGGUGGGUGUGGAUGAGUGGCGAACGGGUGAGUAACACGUGAGUAACCUGCCCCCUUCUUCUGGAUAACCGCAUGAAAGUGUGGCUAAUACGGGAUAUUCUGGGUCUGUCGCAUGAUGGGUCUGGGAAAGAUAUUGUUUCGGUGGGGGAUGGGCUCGCGGCCUAUCAGCUUGUUGGUGGGGUGAUGGCCUACCAAGGCGGUGACGGGUAGCCGGCCUGAGAGGGUGGACGGUCACAUUGGGACUGAGACACGGCCCAGACUCCUACGGGAGGCAGCAGUGGGGAAUAUUGCACAAUGGGCGCAAGCCUGAUGCAGCGACGCCGCGUGAGGGAUGGAGGCCUGCGGGUUGUGAACCUCUUUCGCCAGUGAAGCAGGCCUGCCUCGUUUGUGGGUGGGUUGACGGUAGCUGGAUAAGAAGCGCCGGCUAACUACGUG